UACGGAGGGUGCGAGCGUUGUUCGGAAUUACUGGGCGUAAAGCGCGCGUAGGCGGCUUUUCAAGUCGAUUGUGAAAUCCCCGGGCUUAACCUGGGAACUGCAGUCGAGACUGUCUAGCUAGAGUAUGGGAGAGGGAAGUGGAAUUUCAGGUGUAGCGGUGAAAUGCGUAGAUAUCUGAAGGAACAUCAGUGGCGAAAGCGACUUCCUGGACCAAUACUGACGCUCAUGUGCGAAAGCGUGGGGAGCAAACAGG
rnacentral:rRNA from 1 species